GCCUCCUCUUUUUCCGUCAUGUUGAGGAGUUAAUUUGCGUGUUUUUAUAUUUGAUUAAACACGUCCAUUAACUCUGGUACAUGAUGGUAAAAGCGAGCAAC
rnacentral:pre_miRNA from 2 species